AGGUCCGGAAGUCCGGAGCUCCUGCGGCCUCCCCAGCCUACCGCAGGGCGGGGGCUUCCUGCCGCUACAAGCCACAGCUCAAGUUGGACACAUUUGCCUCGCCUCUGAGCUAGGCGACAAGGAGGCUGUGCUACGCAGCCCCAUACUCAGAAAAAGGUCUUAGAAACUAUCGCCGCAAGGCCGGGCGGUGGUGGCGCACGCCCUUAAUGCCAGCACUCGGAGGCAGAGGCAUCUGGGAUCUCUGUGAGAGCAGCCUGGUCUACAAGAGCUAAUUCCAGGACAGGCUUCAAAGCUACACACAAACCCUGUCUCGAAAGAAAAAAAAAAAAAAAAAAAAAAAAAAAGGAAGGAAGGAAGGAAAAAAGAAAGAUGAAAGGCAAGUGUCCCUAACACAGGGGCUCUAGGUCCUCUCGCUAUGCAUGCAUCUGGAACCACUGCAUCAUUCAGUUGCUCCUUAGUUUGGGUGCCCAGAGAUCACAUUCCAGGCAACCGCAGUAUCCACUACAAUCCAGCUCCUGUAUGGCUCAGAGGCUCAUUUUAAAGUCUCUGUUUUCACCGUAAUUCUCAUUUUCACAAGACAGCUCCAGACAGGCAGGAUGCCCGAAUUAAGCAAAGUAUUCACAGCCCCCUCUCCUGUAGGCCACCUCUACUCCUGUCACUAAUGGAGGAAAGACCCAGAGAGGACACAAGGACAUAAUGACAACCUGAAGACAGGCUGCAUCUUCAUCUUACUAUCUAACACACAUGGUCUUAGAAUCUUGGAGAUGGUGGCGGCCUCUUAUCUCCCAGUGUGGGAGUAUCAAAUAUAGCAUAGGAACCUGUGCAAAGGAAGUGAGCCUUUGGAGCUGAGAAUGUGUGUGGUUCCCAUAGCUAUAGGAGUGAGAGAAGACUGGCAACUGGCCCAGAAUCCCCUUCCAAAGAGGACACAGAAACAGCCGAUGUGAUACUGUGUGCCUAACAAACCUGAUCCCUAUGUUCGGAGCCCUGAAUGGAGCAGAGUGUAAGGGCUUCUCUGUGUAGCUUUGGAGGCUGUCCUGGAACUAGCUCUUGUAGACCAGACUGGUCUUGAACUCCCAGAGAUCCACCCGCCUCUGCCUCCCCAGUGCUGGGAUUAAAGAUGUGUGCCA
rnacentral:lncRNA from 1 species